rnacentral:rRNA from 1 species
GACAACGCUGGCGGCGUGCCUAACACAUGCAAGUCGAGCGGGGUUGAAGCGAGGGGUAACUCGAGUUUCUACCUAGCGGCGGACGGGUGAGUAACGCGUGGGCAACCUGCCUCAAGGACUGGGAUAACAGCUCGAAAGGGCUGCUAAUACCGGAUAUGCCUGUGGCCUCGCAUGGGGCUAUGAGCAAAGGGGAAACCCGCCUUGAGAUGGGCCCGCGUCCCAUCAGCUAGUUGGUGAGGUGAAGGCUCACCAAGGCGACGACGGGUAGCCGGCCUGAGAGGGUGACCGGCCACACUGGGACUGAGACACGGCCCAGACUCCUACGGGGGGCAGCAGUGGGGAAUCUUGCACAAUGGGCGAAAGCCUGAUGCAGCGACGCCGCGUGAGCGAAGAAGGCCUUCGGGUUGUAAAGCUCUGUCUGGAGGGACGAAGGAAGUGACGGUACCUCCGGAGGAAGCCACGGCUAACUACGUG